rnacentral:lncRNA from 10 species
AAACAAUUGGUGAUAAUGAAGAAACUCUACUACCAGACGUUGCGGGAUGCCUCAAUGACCUAAUCCAGUAAAUCACAGCUCCAGCUGUCCAUGAGCUCUGUCUACCAUCUGAGGAAUUGUUUCUUUUUAAUACAAAGACUGGCACUCAUCAGAUAAUAAUUUCUGGGAUAGAAGCAAAGUAUUGGUAUUUCUUUAAGUCUCUUGAAGGUGAUUCUACUGAGCUGGGAUUAAGAACACACUGCCUUAAUCCUUUCAUCAUCAACAAAAUUAAAUACUGUUACUAUUAACAGAAGGAAAAAAAAGCUGUUUAAAGAGAGUGAGAAAGUGUUAUACCAGGAAUGGGAGCAUGAUUUUGUCAUUGAGACCAUGGCCACUGGAGCAAGACCACCUGGGUUCAACUUGUAGCUCUGCCACUUGCUAUCUAUGAACCUAGGGCACGUUAUUUGGUCUCUCUGUGCCUCAGUUUCCUCAUCUGUAAGAUGGAAAUCAUAAUAGUCACUACCUCACAUGGAGAUCAUGAGUACUAAUUGAGUUUAUAUUGUUAGAGUGCUCAAAAGAGUGUCUGGCAUGCCAAGUACUAUAUAAAUAUUUAUUAUUAAUUUUCUAACAACUCAAGUUUUUCACAGGUCCAGGCUUGUAGUUGAAAUUGAUACACAGUCUAUCCACCAAAAUAGCCUUUUCUAUAGUGUCCUGCCUCAGGGUGGGAGGCACAGAAACUAGAAAUGAAAAUUGGAC